UUUUUUUUUUUUUUUUUUUUUUUGGUUUUUCGAGACAGGGUUUCUCUGUAUAGCCUGGCUGUCCUGGAACUCACUUUGUAGACCAGGCUGGCCUCGAACUCAGAAAUCUGCCUGCCUCUGCCUCCCGAGUGCUGGGAUUAAAGGCAUGUGCCACCACGCUCGGCAAGAAACUCUUAAUAUGAUGACUUAUUUAGAUCAUGCUGUACUGUGGGCCUGUCUGUGGAAGUCUGUUUCAUUGUUAAUUGGUGAAGGGAGAUUGAGACCAUUGUAGACUAAUCAUCCUCUAGGCAGAAGGUCCUGAAUAGUCAAAGAGGGGAAGCUAAGAGAGCAAGUAUCCAAGCAAGAAUACAAUUGUUUGCUCAUAGAGAUGAUGUGACCUGCUUCAAGUUCCUGUCUUAACUUACCCUCAGUGGUAAGAUUGAAAGAACUGAAAGCCCAUUAAAGCUUUGUUUCCUAAGUUGCUAUUGUCAGGGCAUUUUAUCACAACACCAGAAAUGAAAUAUCUACUGCAGCAUACCUGCAUAAAUUAGAGGCACUGUCCAGCCUGGGCUCUAUAGAGCCAGGGAGAGCGUCAUUAUCACAUCUUAGAGAAUGAAUUAUAAUUCCACUGUGAUUGUGGCUCUCUCCAUCAGAGGCACACCUGGCUGCUGACUUCUGCUCAUGGAUACUUUUGAUAGCUCAAGUAUCUGUAGUCAGUGUGCACAUUCAUGGCAAGGAGUGAUUUUUCACAUAUAUUAAACAGUGGUUCUUGGGGCUGAAGAGAUGGCUCAGUGGUUACGAGCACUUGCUGUUCUUCAGAGGAUCUGAGUUUGCUUCCCAUCACCCACACCAGAGAGCUCACAACUGCCUGUAACUCUAGCUCCAAGGGACUCAACUCUCUCUGCUGGCUCUGUGGGCACUUGCACACGUGUGGCACCAGUAUACACAAACAUACACAAUACAAAAUCUUUUUAAAAGUGGUUCUUAGCCGAGGUGCACUGGCUAGGGAGCUUUUAAAGAUAGAGUUUCACUAUGUAUUCCAGGCUGCUUGGAAAUUCUGUCUCUCGUCUCAGUCUCCCAAGUUUGGAAACUACAGGUGUAUUCCACCAUAUCCAGGGGAAGUAUGCUUUAUACACACAGCUGUAAUUGAAAACAGCUGUGCUGGGAAACACUAGUCACUGGUUUGUUUAACCAAGAAUUACUGUAUACUUAAGGAAAAGCAACAGUAUAAAUAAAAAAGACCAAGCCAAACAGAUAAAUUGAUCUUAGAGAAAUUAAGUUGAGUAUAACAUAAAGAAUUUUUUUGUCCCAAAAUAUCCUCAAAUAUUUGAGGAAUUGCUAUUACUAUAAAUUAACAAUGGAUUUCUAUAAGAAUAGGACAGUUUUUCGGAAGUAAACUUUCAAGGUCGUGCAGACAGCAGCUGGCUUACCACUGACUCCCCAAGGCAAGAAUCUCCCCAAAUCCUGCUCAUACGACAAAGAGAAAUUAUGUCAUGUGAGGCCAUGGACUACAGACCUAGGAGAGAUCUCACAUUUACUACUAAAGUUCCAGGCAGUUUUAGUGAGCCUCUAGCAGAAGUCGUUGGGCAGUUAGCUGAUGGGUAGGGUAGUACAGGGUAUUAAAACUUUUAUUAUGGGAGGGAAGGAGAUCAUAGGCUCAGUUUAAGAUUAAUUUUUAAUUAUGUAUUUAUAUAUGUGUUUCUUGUGUGGCUAUAUGCAUGUGAGUGAGUUCAGGUGCCUACAAAGGCUAGAGGUAUCAGGUCUGGAGCAGCAGAUCUCUGGUUAUGAUUCUAUGGUUCUGAGAGCCAAACCUAGGUCUCCAAGAGUAGUGCGUGCCCUUAAUGGACAAGUCCUCUCUAUACCAUUGUUUUCUCUUUUGAGACAAGUUCUUUUUCUUUAAAAAAAAUUAAGAUUUUAUUAUUUAUCUUAUGUGCACGGGUGUUUUGUUUGUGUGUGACAUAUACACUCCACAUAUGUGUUCUAGUGCCUAGAGAGCCCAGAAGAAGGUUUCCGAUCCUCUGGAACUGGAGUUACCAAGGGCUGUGUGUGGGCCACCAUAUGGGUGCUGGGAAUUAAAGGUCCUCUGGAAGAGCAGCAGUUCGAUUACUCCCAAGCCCCCCUCCAGCCUCUUGAGACAGGUUCCUGUUGUAUAUUAUGGGUUGGUUGCCUUGGAAGGUUUUUGUAACUCAGGCUAGGCUAGGCUCACAGUCCUGCCUCAGCUUCCUGAGUUCUGAGAUUUAAGGGGACACUAUUAGGAUUGGCUGAUUUUUUAAAAAGAUUUAUUUACUUUAUAUAUAUGAGCACACUGUUUCUUUCUUUGGACACACCAGAAGAGGGCACCGGAUCCCAUUACAGAUGAUUGUGAGUCACCAUGUGGUUACUGGGAAUUGAACUGAGAACUUCUGGAAGAACAGUCUAUGCUCUUAAACACUGAGCCAUCUCUCCAACUCCUGGGUGAUACUUUUAUUUUAUUUUAUUUUAUUUUUUGGUUUUUCGAGACAGGGUUUCUCUGUGUAGUCCUGGCUGUCCUGGAACUCACUUUGUAGACCAGGCUGGCCUCGAACUCAGAAAUUCGCCUGCCUCUGUCUCCCAAGUGCUGGGAUUAAAGGCGUGCGCCACCAUGCCCGUCUGGGUGAUGCUUUUUAAUAGGAGGAAAGUCUGUUUAGAUUUCAGAGUUGGUCUCUGUGUCUGUAUAUUCUGCACCUGUACAAUUGACCAACCAUUGAUUGAAAAUACUCAGAAAAACAGCUUUCCUCUGUAUUAAAUAUGAUUCUUACCUUUAGCAUUAAUCUCCAACAACACAAGGCAGUUAUGUAUUGAUACAGCACUUCUAAUUCUGAGACCCUAUUGCUUUAUCUACAAAUAAAUAAAUAAAUCCAUCUACCAAACGUCCCAAAGCCAAGUAUAAAAAGCUCAAAUGCCAAGCUUUAGAGAAAUAUGCCCAAGUGAGAAUGGGGGGAUUUUAUGAAAUAGAGAGAAGAGCUAACAGAUCUCCCAUUGAUAUGUCUUUUAAUUAUUAAGGACUUUAUUUGAAUUGGUUUUUUUUGAAACAGGGUUUCUCUGUGUAACAGAGCCCUGGCUGUCCUGGACUCAUUUCUAGACCACUCUGACCUUAAGCUCAAAGAGAUCCGACUGCCUCUGCCUCCCGAGUGCUGGAAUUAAAGGUGUGUGCCACCACUCCCAGCAUUAAGGACAUUUUUAAUU
rnacentral:lncRNA from 1 species